GACGAACGCUGGCGGCGUGCUUUAGACAUGCAAGUCGAACGCGAAGACCCUUCGGGGUCUGGGAGUGGCGAACGGCGGAGUAAUACGUAAGCAACGUGCCCUGAAGACUGGGAUAUACCGGGGAAACCCGGAGCAAUACCGGAUGUGGUCGCGACCUCGCAUGGGGAUGCGACUAAAUGGUUUUUCGCUUCAGGAGCGGCUUACGCCAUAUCAGCUUGUUGGUGGGGUAACGGCCUACCAAGGCUUCGACGUGUAACUGGUCUGAGAGGAUGGCCAGUCCGAGUGGGACUGAGACACGGCCCACACACCUACGGGUGGCAGCAGUUUGGAAUAUUGCACAAUGGGGGCAACCCUGAUGCAGCGACGCCGCGUGGAGGAUGAAGGAUCUAGGUCUGUAAACUCCUUUUGCCAGGAAAGACUUAGGACGGUACCUGGCGAAUAAGCUCCGGCUAACUACGUG
rnacentral:rRNA from 1 species